GUGGACUCCGUCCCUGAUAAAAAUUUCGGAGUGUAAAUUCAAAUCAUUUGAACACUGCUGCAUAUUU